AUCAGGAACACCAUUCCGUUAAUUCUUACCUAAUAUUAUUUGAACAUAUGAGACAAAUUUAUACUAAACGUAAACAAAAACAAACAAAGACCUUUUUAUAUUUAAAAAUGUUUUCCAGAACAUCCACAUAUAGAACGGUACAUGCGAAACAAACUGUCAAUCAGAGCGCAAACUAAUUUUUAGCUAAAAACAGAGUUUAUGAAUACAAAGGCUGAUUUUUCUACUGUACCCCCACUGUCAUCCGAAAUGCCUGAAUCUCCAUCCAGAAAUUUGACUUAUGCUUAGUUAAAAAAAUAUUCACAAGUUUACUUCUUCUAACUGAGACACUGUAAAAAUUAAAAGAGAUAAACAAUCCACAAACACCACAUACAAACUCAACGAGUAGAAUAGAGAUAUAUUUAAAACAUUGAGAUAUAACACACCAGACUUAGGUAUGCAGCCACCAUUUUGAAUAGAUACAAUAAGUCAAAGUUAUUAUACUGUCUCCCCUAAAUAAAAGCGUCAAGCGAUGCGGUUUCUAAAGGCCAUGGUAUCCUCGCGCACUAUGCCGAUAUAAAUGUGCACAUCUUCUUGCUAUCAUUCUCCCUAAGUUAUGAAUCUGUGAAAUGAGCGGCUUAUAUUUCCUUGAAACAUUCAGCAGGAGCAUUAAUGCAGACAGUUCUUUGACGCUUGACGCGCAAUAUCUAUUACAAACUUUGGAAUGACGUGAAGAAUUUCAAUACACACAUGCGUUAAGAGGGGGUGUCCACAAACACAAUAAUUGAAAACUAACAUUAAGCACUAUGAAAUAUUUACGGCUGCGUAAAAAUUAAGAGUUCAGAAUACAAUACAUAAGUGCAACAAAUAUUAAAUAAUGUGCAAUGAAAAAAUAUUAGAAAACUGUUAAGUAUUCAAACCAAUGGCGAAUGCAGAGGUAUUCUGUUAAUUCAAAUGUAAAUAUAACAAAUAUUAUAUAAUGUGCAAUGACAAAAUUAUUAGAAAACUGGUAAGUAUUCAAACCAAUGGCGAACGCAGAGGUAAUCAGUUAAUUCAAAAGUAAUUUAUUCCGAAUAUUAGUUCAAUACCUAAAUAUGGUCUUGAAACAUACCGAAGAGAGCAGAAAUGUUCGUUUGUAUAUAGUAAAUUACAAUAUUUAGUUUGAACAGCAAUUAAAAAUUUGAGUACCUUAUUAAGGCGAAAACAUUUGACCGCCAUCAAAUUUUCCUAGAAGGAUUAAGUUUAUUUUGUUAACAAUUCUUAUUUGCUGCAAAUUGCUGUAAUACAAUUGAUUUGAGCCUAACAACAUCAAUACUUUUAUCUUUUCAAGUAACAAACUUCGCGUUCGUCACUGAGAGAAAAAGCAAUUUAAUAGAUUUUGUACAAGUAGAAUUGCACAACUUAUAUACAAUGAUAUUGGUUAGUACAAAUUGAUCCAGGUAUAUAUACACAAAUGUAGACUUGUUUACAUAAGAACUUUAAACAAUAAGUGCUAUUGCUCUACAACAACCCCGAAUAUAUGUUAUAUUGCAUGUUAUAGGAUCAAAUGAGUUUUAUAACAGAAAAAUUAAUUUUUGUUUUAGUAGUAUGUGGAUAAUUGUCUUCAUAGUUCACCUGUUAAGCUCUUGCUUUGCUUUCUCGACUUUUUAGCUUCUGCUUAAUUGAAAAUUAAACGGCGGUCCCAUUUUUAGGCAAGUUUGGCAAUUUUCAUUUUCAUCCAAUUUUAUGUUCAGUAGUAAUGAUGGUGAUUGUAAAAGUAGUUUUAUAAUGUAUUUUCACAUUGUAUUGCGCAUUGUUUGUCCGGUUUAUGGUACACAUAAAAAUUUUAAUUCAUCUCAACAAAUUGACAUUAUUUUGAGUUUUAAAAGUGUCAUUAUUUUAUUAUUUAUCAGUUCGUUGUAGUGGUAGAUGAGUAGAUCAAUGAGCAAUCAUUCAAAUCACAUCAUGCAACAAGUAUGAGCAGUAAAUGUAAAAAUAUACAAAAAAAACAUUAAAGUAAUAAAAAAGAGAACUAUUAUGAGGACUAAAAUCAAGUGAUUAUUUUAUAAAAAAAUCAUACUGAUUGGAUUGCAAAAAAAACCCAAUACUUCGGGAUGGAAAUGCUUAUUGCAUAUUCAAUACAUUAUAAACCGACACGAAGAAUGGUAUUGGCCGCACUAAGGUACCAACGCACAAUACAAUAAUUGUAUGAUUACAACAAAUUGCAAAAAUCCUUACACAUUCAUAUGAACGCAUAUCACACAUUUGGAAAGUUUACUAAUUAUAGAUUUAAAAAUAUGCUUUUGAUCCGAUCUCUUCAAAUCUGUGUAUCAUGCUUUUUGAAACCUGUAAUUUGUAUAAAUAUAUAUUAUAACUUUAAUAUAUAUCGCAAUUCAGUACGCAGUCUUUAGUCAGUAUUUGCGACCUUUUGAAGUAAAGUCUCAAUUUGUGACAAGUGACACAAAAUAUGGUCUCAAAUUUGUCACCUGAUAGUAAGCAGAUCACAAUACUUAUAAGAAUUCUUGUUUUCCUUUUUGAAUAUACUGACAAUUCCCUUAUAGAGAUCAUCACAGAUAAAUAUAAAUCAAUUGACAGUUUUAAUAUUUUAUGUAACACGUAAAAGAUGAAAAAAAAUUAAUAUUUAAAUAAAUGUCGUAACUAUUGUGAUUCCAAGUCAACAUUUUGAUUUUAUUUUUAUUGGUAAUUAUGCUUUUUGACUGCGUUAUAGACGACUUAAUAUUUGUUAUCGAUACGUUUAAUUAAUUCAUAUCUAAGUACUGAAUUCCGAUAUUAAACUACACAAGUAGCUGGAUUUUCGAAAGGCACAUGAAAUUUGAAAUAUGCAUCUCAAUAUAAUAAUAAAU